GCUCCAGUGGCGCAGUCGGUUAGCGCAUGGUACUUAUAGGACAGUAAUCAUGUUCAUUAAUCACUUAAUAUGUCUGUAAAGAUAUGCCGAGGUCGCGAGUUCGAGCCUCGCCUGGAGCA
rnacentral:tRNA from 1 species